rnacentral:rRNA from 1 species
UAUUUGUUAUAUCAUUAAAUUUAAAAGAUUUGGCGGUAAAUUAUUUAAUUAGAGGAACUUGUUUAGUAAUCGAUAAUCCACGUUUAAUUUUUCCUAUAUUUGUUAAUCAAUUUAUAUACCGUUGUUUAUGAAAAUUUUUAUUGAAUUUUAAUUUUCUUAAUAAAUUUUUUAAUAAAAUCAAGUCAAGGUGUAGUUUAUGUAUAGGUUUAUAAUGAGUUACUAUUAUUUAUAAUAAUAGAUUAUAUUUUGAAAUUUGGUAUAUGAAAAAGGAUUUAUUAGUAAUAAAUAAUUAAAUAGUAUUUAUGAAUUAUAUACUAAUUUAUGU